GACGAACGCUGGCGGCGUGCCUAAUACAUGCAAGUAGGACGCAGUUGCGAACGGGUGAGUAACGCGUAGGUAACUAGCUAUUAGAGGGGGAUAACUAUUGGAAACGAUAGCUAAUACCGCAUACUAGUAGAUGGACUUGAGUUGUAUUAGCUAGUAGGUUGGGUAAUGGCCUAACUAGGCAACGAUACAUAGCCGAGCUGAGAGGGGGGACGGGCAAACUUGGAAUGAGACACGGGCCAGACUCCUUCGGGAGGCAGCAGUAGGGGAUCUUCGGCAAUGGGGGGAAACCUGAACGAGCAACGCCGGGGGAGUGAAGAAGGUUUUCGGAUCGUAAAGCUCUGUUGAUAAGGAAGCGGUACUUAACCAGAAAGGGACGGCUAACUACGUGCCAGCAGCCGCGGUAAUAC
rnacentral:rRNA from 1 species